GUGAGUAUAGCUCAGUAGUAGAGUGCAUGCUUAGCAUGCAUGAGGUUUUAGGUUCAAUCCCCAGUAUCUCCA
rnacentral:tRNA from 1 species